rnacentral:rRNA from 1 species
CAGCCGCCGCGGUAAUACGUAAGGUGCGAGCGUUAAUCGGAAUUACUGGGCGUAAAGCGUGCGCAGGCGGUUUGUUAAGACAGAUGUGAAAUCCCCGGGCUUAACCUGGGAACUGCAUUUGUGACUGGCCGGCUAGAGUAUGGCAGAGGGAGGUGGAAUUCCACGUGUAGCAGUGAAAUGCGUAGAUAUGUGGAGGAACACCGAUGGCGAAGGCAGCCUCCUGGGCCAAUACUGACGCUCAUGCACGAAAGCGCGGGGAGCAAACAGGAUUAGAUACCCCGGUAGUCCCUGUCUCUUAUAC